rnacentral:lncRNA from 1 species
GGCUCUGUAGACUAAGUAUUAAUGAACUUUCUUUUUUGUCCUUGCAGUAGCAGGUACAGCUUUGAUCUCAGUUUUCUGCUAAAUGAAUGGUUCUGUGUUUUGUGCUCAUUCGUUUACAGAGAUCCCUCUGAACCACCUUGGAACCAGAAGGUGUGUGGUCUGAGAACCGUAAAUGGGCUGCUCUCUGCCUCUCUCACAGCAGUUCUGCCCCUCCUUGGGACCACUCGUUUUCUGCAUUCCUGGCCCAUCUUCUAUAUAUCUCUGGUCCAGAUUCCAGAGGAAACCUGUUUGACUUGAAUAGAUGCCAUUGCCCUUAUUGGGCCUUGCCUCAGGAGUUCCUCUGUGUAUCUCUGGUCCAGAUUCCGGAGGAAACCUGUUUGACUUGAGUAGAUGCCAUUGCCCUUAUUGGGCCUUGCCUCAGGAGUUGCUGGUUAGCCUAUGAAGGGGUUCCCCUUGGGUUGAUGACAUUGCUCCCAUCCAGAAAGUGGCUACUUCUACCCUCCUACUCCCACCACUCUGCAUGCAGGAGCUGUUAUCAUCAAAAGGGAAUGUCCACUGUCUGCUCUGUACUAGAGAAGUGCUAGGCUUCAUAAAUAUUGGUAAUCGAUACCUGAAUGGGAUGAAAAUUGACAGGUCCUGGGAUGGAUGGCCUGGUUCAUCUGCAUCAGAACUGGAAAAACAAAAUCACACCAAAUUGCAGACUUUUUUGGAAGAGCGUGUUAGACAAGGGGUGCAACGUCUUUCUUUUCUGAUGGUGAUUGAUAUAGUUUGGCUGUGUCCCCACCCAAAUCUCAUCUUGAAUUCCCAUGUGUUGUUGGAGGGACCUGGUGGGAGGUAACUAAAUCAUGGGGGCAGGUCUUUCCCGUGCUGUUCUUGUGAUAGUGAGGAAGUCUCACGAGAUCUGAUGGUUAUUAUAAGAGGGAGUUUUCCUGCACAAGCCCUCAUUUUGCCUGCUGCCAUCUAUAUAAGAUGUGAUUUGCUGCUCCUUGCCAUCCGCCAUGAUUGUGAAGCCUCCCCAGCCAUGUGGAACUGUAAGUCCAAUAAACCUCUUUUGUAAAUUACCUAAUCUCAGGUCUGUCUUUAUCAACAGCAUGAAAACAGACUAAUAGAGUGAUAUAGGAAGUUCUUAGUCUUACUGAAGCAAGGGAAAGUGACAUUUUGCUUCUACACCCUCCAGAAUUCAUAAGCUCCAGAAGGAAAGAGGACCCAAGGGAAAAACAUGAUUGCAAAAUGUGUUCUUGUCCUCUGCCCAAGUGAUUAACCUUUGCUCCAGUGGUUUUCAAACCUGGCUGCUGUUAGAAUCACCUGGCAGUGUUUAAAAAUGACUGAUGCCCAGCAUUUUAACUUAAAUACCAAUUUGGUCUGGAGUGGAGCCUGAGUAUGGAUAUUUAAAAAAGUAACUCCUCCUCCCCAAUCCCCCGUAAUUGUAAUGUGCAGCCAAGAUUGAGAACCACUGCUUUUAUCAGUGCACAAAACUGGAUCCUCUACUAAUCACCGUGGUUUUUUCUUAGGCUUAUUUACAGAUUGAUUAAGUUAUGCCGCUUUUGUAGAUCCUUGAAAUUCUG